rnacentral:rRNA from 1 species
GAUGAACGCUGGCGGCGUGCCUAAUACAUGCAAGUCGAGCGAACGGACGAGAAGCUUGCUUCUCUGAUGUUAGCGGCGGACGGGUGAGUAACACGUGGAUAACCUACCUAUAAGACUGGGAUAACUUCGGGAAACCGGAGCUAAUACCGGAUAAUAUUUUGAACCGCAUGGUUCAAAAGUGAAAGACGGUCUUGCUGUCACUUAUAGAUGGAUCCGCGCUGCAUUAGCUAGUUGGUAAGGGAACGGCUUACCAAGGCAACGAUGCAUAGCCGACCUGAGAGGAUGAUCGGCCACACUGGAACUGAGACACGGUCCAGACUCCUACGGGAGGCAGCAGUAGGGAAUCUUCCGCAAUGGGCGAAAGCCUGACGGAGCCACGCCGCGUGAGUGAUGAAGGUCUUCGGAUCGUAAAACUCUGUUAUUAGGGAAGAACAUAUGUGUAAGUAACUGUGCACAUCUUGACGGUACCUAAUCAGAAAGCCACGGCUAACUACGUG